AUUGAACGCUGGCGGCAUGCUUUACACAUGCAAGUCGAACGGCAGCGCGGGCUUCGGCCUGGCGGCGAGUGGCGAACGGGUGAGUAAUACAUCGGAACGUGCCCAGGAGUGGGGGAUAGCUCGGCGAAAGCCGGAUUAAUACCGCAUACGACCUGAGGGUGAAAGCGGGGGAUCUUCGGACCUCCCGCUAUUGCAGCGGCCGAUGGCAGAUUAGCCCGUUGGUGGGGUAAAUGCCUACCAAGGCGACGAUCUGUAGCUGGUCUGAGAGGACGACCAGCCAGACUGGGACUGAGGCACGGCCCAGACUCCUAAGGGAGGCAGCGGUGGGGAAUUUUGGACAAUGGGCGAAAGCCUGAUCCAGCAAUGCGGCGUGUGUGAUGAAGGCCUUCGGGUUCUAAAGCACUUUGGGCGGGAACGAAAAGGACUGUGCCAAUACCACGGUUCGAUGACGGUAGCCGCAGGAUAAGCACCGGCUAACUACGUG
rnacentral:rRNA from 1 species